GACGAACGCUGGCGGCGUGCCUAAUACAUGCAAGUAGAACGCUGAAGAGAGGAGCUUGCUCUUCUUGGAUGAGUUGCGAACGGGUGAGUAAAGCGUAGGUAACCUGCCUUGUAGCGGGGGAUAACUAUUGGAAACGAUAGCUAAUACCGCAUAACAAUGGAUGACACAUGUCAUUUAUUUGAAAGGGGCAAUUGCUCCACUACAAGAUGGACCUGCGUUGUAUUAGCUAGUAGGUGAGGUAAUGGCUCACCUAGGCGACGAAACGUAGCCGACCUGCGAGGGUGAUCGGCCACACUGGGACUGAGACGCGGCCCAGACUCCUACGGGAGGCAGCAGUAGGGAAUCUUCGGCAAUGGGGGCAACCCUGACCGAGCAACGCCGCGUGAGUGAAGAAGGUUUUCGGAUCGUAAAGCUCUGUUGUAAGUCAAGAACGGGUGUGAGAGUGGAAAGUUCACACUGUGACGGUAGCUUACCAGAAAGGGACGGCUAACUACGUG
rnacentral:rRNA from 1 species